rnacentral:rRNA from 1 species
AGAAUCAACGCUGGCGGCGUGCCUAACACAUGCAAGUCGAACGAGAAAGUGGAGCAAUCCAUGAGUAAAGUGGCGACCGGGUGAGUAACACGUGACUAACCUACCUUCGAGUGGGGGAUAACCUCGGGAAACCGAGGCUAAUACCGCAUAACAUCGCAAGAUCAAAGCAGCAAUGCGCUGGAAGAGGGGGUCGCGGCUGAUUAGCUAGUUGGCGGGGUAAUGGCCCACCAAGGCGAAGAU